CCUACGGGAGGCAGCAGUGAGGAAUAUUGGUCAAUGGACGCAAGUCUGAACCAGCCAAGCCGCGUGAGGGAAGAAGGUUCUAUGUAUCGUAAACCGCUUUUGUAAGGGGACAAACGCUGGGACGCGUCCCUGUCUGAAUGUACCUUACGAAUAAGGAUCGGCUAACUCCGUGCCAGCAGCCGCGGUAAUACGGAGGAUUCAAGCGUUAUCCGGAUUUAUUGGGUUUAAAGGGUGCGUAGGCGGUCGGUUAAGUCAGCGGUGAAAUCCCGGGGCUCAACUUCGGAAUUGCCGCUGAUACUGGUAGGCUAGAGAGUAGUUGCGGUAGGCGGAAUGUACGGUGUAGCGGUGAAAUGCUGAGAGAUCAUACAGAACACCGAUUGCGAAGGCAGCUUGCCAAGCUACGUCUGACGUUGAGGCACGAAAGCGUGGGGAUCAAACAGGAUUAGAUACCCGGGUAGUC
rnacentral:rRNA from 1 species